AUUUUUCCACGCUGCCCACGCGUCGAUCAUCGUCGGCUGCUUCGUUUCCACUACAUCUCGAAUUUUCCUUCCCUUUCCACUUCUCUCUCUCACAAAGCUGGGCGUUUCAUUUGCUUCCGGUAGUCCUCCAUUUGCUACACGAACUCCAGUUCUCUCUCCCUAUUUUGCACGAACCAGAACAUAUGUUGUUUAUCCCGUUCCGAUUCGAAGAAAUUCCUCAAGGGGCUUAGAUUUCGUGGUACGUUCUCUGUCUCUCUCUAGAAUUUUGUUUGGAUUGGGUUGUUCAUGUUGUUCUCCUCACAACAAAACUAAAAUUCCUUGAAUUCGCUUCAUCCGAGUCCAAUUCUACUCUGGCAUACCCUGAAAAGCUUGGCUCCCGUUUUGAUUUGAAGAAAUUUUAAACUCAGAAAGCUUGGGUUUCGUGCUCUCUCACCAGAGAUCUCUGCCAUCGCUGUUUCACCAAACUGGAGCGUCCUCUCUUUCGAACCAGGGAAAAUCUAUUUGACGAUGGGAAUCAUCUGAAUCAGUUCUUGGAUGAUGAUCCAACAAUAUCUUAUUCAUGGUUUGGAUAGUUAUUAAACUAGUGUCACAUGGGUAUCAUGGAUUGCUUAAAAAAGUCCCAAAGACGUGGAGAGAUUUGUUACAUAGGUCCGACUUUGUGAACUAUGAAGCUAGAAAACAAUGGUGCAGAAAUUGCUGUUUGUUCUUGCUAAGGUUUGUAAUCCGAUGACUAAUAAGUAUGUUCCCAUAUUCGGCACUUCAAAUAUGUCUAUAGAAAUAAUGUUAUUUUUACAUAAGUUAGGUUUUCCAUUUUUCACUUCUAGCUAUGUUAUUUCUUUUUGAGCAAACGACUUUGAUCACCAUUCCAAGUUUGGAAAUUCUUGAGUUGUGCAAAUUGUACACUAGAGGGGAUCCCUUGAUAUAUAUUACUUAGUUCUUACUAAAAUUCGUGCAAA